rnacentral:rRNA from 1 species
GAUGAACGCUGGCGGCGUGCCUAAUACAUGCAAGUCGAGCGAACAGAUGAGGAGCUUGCUCCUCUGACGUUAGCGGCGGACGGGUGAGUAACACGUGGAUAACCUACCUAUAAGACUGGGAUAACUUCGGGAAACCGGAGCUAAUACCGGAUAAUAUAUUGAACCGCAUGGUUCAAUAGUGAAAGACGGUUUUGCUGUCACUUAUAGAUGGAUCCGCGCCGCAUUAGCUAGUUGGUAAGGUAACGGCUUACCAAGGCAACGAUGCGUAGCCGACCUGAGAGGGUGAUCGGCCACACUGGAACUGAGACACGGUCCAGACUCCUACGGGAGGCAGCAGUAGGGAAUCUUCCGCAAUGGGCGAAAGCCUGACGGAGCAACGCCGCGUGAGUGAUGAAGGUCUUCGGAUCGUAAAACUCUGUUAUUAGGGAAGAGCAAAUGUGUAAGUAACUAUGCACGUCUUGACGGUACCUGAUCAGAAAGCCACGGCUAACUACGUG